rnacentral:misc_RNA from 1 species
CGUGUAAUUCGCAAGGAAAAUAGUCAUGUUGAAGUAACUACGUCAAGAAAAACUCUACAUCUUUAUUUAUGUAUAUUCGUGACCUCGAGACUGCUAUUAUGCAGAAAUAUUCUAAAUAAGGAAAGGUGCAUAUUAUUGUACCCUUGAAUAUACAUUAUGUUUUGGGUUACAAGGUUUAGAAACAAAAGAGCUAUAAGUAGAUUUCUAUUGCUGUUUCUUGUAGCCUUCAGCUAGAACUAUAAGAUUAAAUUUUUGCUAAUGUCCUUUGCUAUAAACAUAUGAACGUG